rnacentral:rRNA from 1 species
CCCUUAGAUGUCCUGGGCUGCACGCGCGCUACACUGAUGUGUCCAGUAAGCACCUAACCUCUUCCGAAAGGAACGGGUAACCUUUGCAAAGCACAUCGUGAUGGGGAUAGGUUAUUGCAAUUAUUAGUCUUGAACGAGGAAUUCCUAGUAAGCACAAGUCAUCAGCUUGUGUUGAUUACGUCCCUGCCCUUUGUACACACCGCCCGUCGCUCCUACCGAUUGAAUGUUCCGGUGAGCUCUUCGGACUGCGCGGUCUGCAGUUUCUGCGUUCCGUGCGGAAAGUUGCGCAAACCUUAACAUUUAGAGGAAGGAGAAGUCGUAACA